UCAAUUUAAACAAAACUCAUAUGGCCUAAUCUUCUUCCGUUUGGACAUGGACUCGAAUCGUGAAAUAUGUAUAGCACUUAGCCCAUGCUUCUCCAUAAUUCUUGGGCUCGUUCUUGGGUUUUUCUUCUAUGAUAAGUAUUUUCUUGAUUCACAUUGAAGCCGAUCAAUUUUAAUGCAAGUGGGCUAAACUGGAUGCUAUCAUUUCCCUCUUCUUGAAAAUAAUUCGUCCUCGAAUUGGAAU
rnacentral:lncRNA from 1 species